UACGUAGGGUGCGAGCGUUGUCCGGAAUUAUUGGGCGUAAAGAGCUCGUAGGCGGUCUGUCGCGUCUGCUGUGAAAACCCGAGGCUCAACCUCGGGCCUGCAGUGGGUACGGGCAGACUAGAGUGCGGUAGGGGAGAAUGGAAUUCCUGGUGUAGCGGUGGAAUGCGCAGAUAUCAGGAGGAACACCGAUGGCGAAGGCGGGUCUCUGGGCCGUAACUGACGCUGAGGAGCGAAAGCGUGGGGAGCGAACAGG
rnacentral:rRNA from 1 species